rnacentral:rRNA from 1 species
CCCUUAGAUGUUCUGGGCCGCACGCGUGCUACACUGAGUGGAUCAGCGGGUCAGGUUGCGCGAAAGUGUUUCCUAAUCUUGAAAUCCGCUCGUGAUGGGGAUUGACGGUUGCAAUUUUCCGUCAUGAACGAGGAAUACCUUGUAAGCGCGGGUCAUCAUCCCGCGCUGAAUACGUCCCUGCCCUUUGUACACACCGCCCGUCGCUCCUACCGAUCGAAGAGUUAGGUGAAUUGUUUUGAUCGAUAAGAUUUGACUAUGGUCAACUCUCGUUGUGAAAUUCUGUGAAUCUGACUGUUUAGAGGAAGGAAAAGUCGUAACA